rnacentral:rRNA from 1 species
GAUGAACGCUGGCUGCGUGCCUAAUACAUGCAAGUCGAGCGAACGGACGAGAAGCUUGCUUCUCUGAUGUUAGCGGCGGACGUGUGAGUAACACGUGGAUAACCUACCUAUAAGACUGGGAUAACUUCGGGAAACCGGAGCUAAUACCGGAUAAUAUUUUGAAUCGCAUGGUUCAAAAGUGAAAGACGGUCUUGCUGUCACUUAUAGAUGGAUCCGCCCUGCAUUAGCUAGUUGGUAAGGUAACGGCUUACCAAGGCAACGAUGCAUAGCCGACCUGAGAGGGUGAUCGGCCACACUGGAACUGAGACACGGUCCAGGCUCCUAGGGGAGGCAGCUGUAGGGAAUCUUCCGCAAUGGGCGAAAGCCUGACAGAGCAACGCCGCGUGAGUGAUGAAGGUCUUCGGAUCGUAAAACUCUGUUAUUAGGGAAGAACAUAUGUGUAAGUAACUGUGCACAUCUUGACGGGACCUAAUCAGAAAGCCACGGCUAACUACG